ensembl:lncRNA
GCAGAGGUCCCAGGGCCCCCCAGCCUGUGCAGGGAGCUCUAAACUUGACAUUAGAACAGCCAAAUUCAAGUUCUGGUUAUCUUAUUUUUCUUUUAGAAGACCUGGAACAAAUCUUCCUGGGACUUGGUUUUCUCAUCUAUGUAAUUAAUGAAUUCAACAGCCCCUGCGCCCCUGCCCACAGGGUUGUAGUCCCAAUCCUGAGCAGGAGUCUCCAUGUGCUGGGUCAGCACUGUCCUCUGAUAAGAGACCAGCUCGUGUUUGCUCAGAGAUAACGCCCAGGGCCUGGAACAGGAAAGGCACCAGCCCUUUGGCCUGAUGUCAGAUCAGUGUGGCUAGAAGCAUAAACUGGGUGAAGCAGAGGGUUGUCCAGUUUGCUGGGCUAUAACAUGGUGCUGACUAAGGUCCGUCUAGUCAAGGCUGUGGUUUUUCCUGUGGUCAUGUAUGGAUGUGAGAGUUGGACUGUGAAGAAGGCUGAGUGCCGAAG